AUUGAACGCUGGCGGCAGGCUUAACACAUGCAAGUCGAGCGAGCGGCGGGCGGGUGGGUAAUGUCUGGGAAACUGCCUGAUGGAGGGGGAUAACUACUGGAAACGGUAGCUAAUACCGCAUACCAUCAGCUGUGCCCAGAUGGGAUUAGCUAGUAGGUGGGGUAAUGGCGCACCUAGGCGACGAUCCCUAGCUGGUCUGAGAGGAUGGCCAGCCACACUGGAACUGAGACACGGUCCAGUGUCCCACGGGAGGCAGCAGUGGGGAAUAGUGAGCAAUGGGCGCAAGCCUGAUGCAGCCAUGCCGCGUGUGUGAACAGGGCCUUCGGGUUGUAAAGCACUGUCAGCGAGGAGGCGUGACUUGCAGAAGAAGCCACGGCCAACUCCGUGCCAGCAGCCGGGGUAAUUC
rnacentral:rRNA from 1 species